CAGUAAUUUAGUUCUAUUAUAUAGCUACAAACACACAGACCCUAAACAUUCAAAGCAGCAUAAUUUGAUAAAUGUACCAAAUUCAUUAACCCUUUAACAUGUCAGCUUUGCAACUUCAACAACGUAUUUGUCAAAACCUGGCCUUAUAGGAGUAGUACAAGGCACUUAAACUGUAUAUAACAUUUUAUAACUGCCAGCAAUUUACAUUUUGUUCACACUUUAAAGAUACUAGACUAAACAGCUUGUAGGGUUCUAAAGAGAAAAAAAGUUAGGUAAGAAAACUAUUCACUUUCCACGUGAUCUGUAACAGAAGGUUUCAG